AAGUCGAACGCGAAAGUCCCGCAAGGGAUCAGUAGCGUGGCAAACGGGUGAGUAACACGUGGGUGACCUGCCUUCGAGCGGGGGAUAACGUCCCGAAAGGGACGCUAAUACCGCAUAACAUCCUGCCUUUUAAGAGGCGGUGAUCAAAGCCGGGGAUCGCAAGACCUGGCACUUGAAGAGGGGCCCGCGCCUGAUUAGCUAGUUGGUGGGGUAAUGGCUCACCAAGGCAACGAUCAGUAUCCGGCCUGAGAGGGCGGACGGACACACUGGGACUGAGACACGGCCCAGACUCCUACGGGAGGCAGCAGUGGGGAAUUGUUCGCAAUGGGCGCAAGCCUGAUGACGCAACGCCGCGUGGAGGAUGAAGACCUUCGGGUCGUAAACUCCUUUCGAUCGAGACGAAUGGUUUCCGGGUGAACAAUCCGGAAAAGUGACGGUACCGAGAGAAGAAGCCCCGGCUAACUCCGUGCCAGCAGCCGCGGUAAUACGGGGGGGGCAAGCGUUGUUCGGAAUUACUGGGCGUAAAGGGCUUGUAGGUGGCCAACUAAGUCAGACGUGAAAUCCCUCAGCUUAACUGGGGAACUGCGUCUGAUACUGGAUGGCUUGAGUUUGGGAGAGGGAUGCGGAAUUCCAGGUGUAGCGGUGAAAUGCGUAGAUAUCUGGAGGAACACCGGUUGGCGAANGCGGCAUCCUGGACCAACACUGACACUGAGGAGCGAAAGCCAGGGGAGCAAACGGGAUUAGAUACCCCGGUAGUCCUGGCCCUAAACGAUGAAUGCUUGGUGUGGCGGGUAUCGAU
rnacentral:rRNA from 1 species